rnacentral:rRNA from 1 species
CGUACACUCCUGCGGGGGGCAGCAGUGGGGAAUAUUGGACAAUGGGCGCAAGCCUGAUCAAGCCAUGCCGCGUGAGUGAUGAAGGCCCUAGGGUUGUAAAGCUCUUUCACCGGAGAAGAUAAUGACGGUAUCCGGAGAAGAAGCCCCGGCUAACUUCGUGCCAGCAGCCGCGGUAAUACGAAGGGGGCUAGCGUUGUUCGGAAUUACUGGGCGUAAAGCGCACGUAGGCGGAUCGAUCAGUCAGGGGUGAAAUCCCAGGGCUCAACCCUGGAACUGCCUUUGAUACUGUCGAUCUGGAGUAUGGAAGAGGUGAGUGGAAUUCCGAGUGUAGAGGUGAAAUUCGUAGAUAUUCGGAGGAACACCAGUGGCGAAGGCGGCUCACUGGUCCAUUACUGACGCUGAGGUGCGAAAGCGUGGGGAGCAAACAGGAUUAGAUACCCUUGUAGUCCC